AUUGAACGCUGGCGGCAGGCCUAACACCUGCAAGUCGAACGAGUGGCGGACGGGUUAGUAAUGUCUGGGAAAAUGCCUGAUGGAGGGGGAUAACUACUGGAAACGGUAGCUAAUCCCGCAUAAAAUCAGCUGUGCCCAGAUGGGAUUAGCUUGGUGGUGGGGUAACGCCUCACCUAGGCGACGAUCCCUAGCUGGUCUGAGAGGAAGACCAGCCACACUGGAACGGAGACACGGUCCAGACUCCUACGGGAGGCAGCAGUGGGGAAUAUUGCACAAUGGGCGCAAGCCUGAUGCAGCCAUUCCGCGUGUAUGAAGAAGGCCUUCGGGUUGUAAAGUACUUUCAGCGGGGAGGCGUUACCCGCAGAAGAAGCACCGGCUAACUCCGUGCCAGCAGCCGCGGUAAUAC
rnacentral:rRNA from 1 species